rnacentral:rRNA from 1 species
AUGAUGACUCUUGGCAACGGAUAUCUCGGCUCUCGCAUCGAUGAAGAAUGUAGCGAAAUGCGAUACCUGGUGUGAAUUACAGAAUCCCGUGAGCCAUCGAGUCUUUGAACGCAAGUUGUGCCCGAGGCCAUCCGGUCGAGGGCACGCCUGCCUGGGCAUCAAGC